GCCUCCGUGGCACAGUGGUUCUGUGCCCGGGAGUUCUGUGUGGGUCAGCACACGGAUCGCUGGUUCGAAUCCAGCCGGAGGCA
rfam:Cordyceps militaris CM01 unplaced genomic scaffold CCM_S00005, whole genome shotgun sequence.